rnacentral:rRNA from 1 species
CCUACGAGUGGCAGCAGUCGAGAAUCAUUCACAAUGGGGGAAACCCUGAUGGUGCGACGCCGCGUGGGGGAAUGAAGGUCUUCGGAUUGUAAACCCCUGUCAUGUGGGAGCAAAUUAAAAAGAUAGUACCACAAGAGGAAGAGACGGCUAACUCUGUGCCCGCAGCCGCGGUAAUACAGAGGUCUCAAGCGCUGUUCGGAAUCACUGGGCGUAAAGCGUGCGUAGGCUGUUUCGUAAGUCGUGUGUGAAAGGCGCGGGCUCAACCCGCGGCCGGCAGAUGAUACUGCGAAACUAGAGGAAUGGAGGGGGAACCGGAAUGCUCGGUGUAGCAGUGAAAUGCGGAGAUAUCGAGAGGAACAAUCGUGGCGAAGGCGGGUUCCUGGACAUUAACUGACGCUGAGGCACGAAGGCCAGGGGAGCGAAAGGGAUUAGAUACCCUGGUAGUC